rnacentral:tRNA from 1 species
AUCGCUGUGCCAGAGUGGUUAAUGGGUAAGACUUGAAUUAUGUUCGGUUAUCUUAUGACUUCGGUCGCGUAGGUUCGAACCCUGCCGGCGAUG